AUUACGUCCCUGCCCUUUGUACAAAUGGCCCGUCGCUACUACCGAUUGAAUGGCUUAGUGAGACUUUCGGAUGUGUUUGGAGCCGCUGGCAACAGUGACACCUUGCGCAGAAGUUAUUCAAACUUGGUCAUUUAGAGGAAGUAAAAGUCGUAACAAGGUUUUCGUAGGUGAACCUGCGGAAGGAUCAUUA
rnacentral:rRNA from 1 species